rnacentral:rRNA from 1 species
UGCAGUUGAGCGGUAGGCCCCUUCGGGGGUACACGAGCAGCGAACGGGUGAGUAUCGCGUGGGUAAUCUACCUAGAGGUGGGGGAUAGCCUCGGGAAACCGAGGGUAAUACCGCAUGAGUCCUCAACGGCAUAAGUCGAUGAGGGGAAAGGCGGGGCUCCUUCGGGACCUGUCGCCUCCGGAUGAGCCCGCGUCCGAUUAGCUAGUUGGUGGGGUAAUGGCCUACCAAGGCAGCGAUCGGUAGCCGGCCUGAGAGGGUGAACGGCCACAUUGGGACUGAGACACGGCCCAGACUCCUACGGGAGGCAGCAGUGGGGAAUUUUGGGCAAUGGGGGAAACCCUGACCCAGCGACGCCGCGUGGAGGAUGACGGCCUUCGGGUUGUAAACUCCAGUCAGGUGGGAAGAAAAGCCAGUCGGAUAAUACCCGGCAGGAAUUGACGGUACCACCAAAGGAAGCCCCGGCUAACUCCGUGCCAGCAGCCGCGGUAAUACG